rnacentral:rRNA from 1 species
CAGUCGCCGCGGUAAUACGUAGGUGGCGAGCGUUGUCCGGAAUCAUUGGGCGUAAAGGGAGCGCAGGCGGGCAUGUAAGUCUUUCUUAAAAGUGCGGGGCUCAACCCCGUGAUGGGAAAGAAACUACAUGUCUUGAGUACAGGAGAGGAAAGCGGAAUUCCCAGUGUAGCGGUGAAAUGCGUAGAUAUUGGGAGGAACACCAGUGGCGAAGGCGGCUUUCUGGACUGCAACUGACGCUGAGGCUCGAAAGCCAGGGGAGCGAACGGGAUUAGAUACCCGAGUAGUCCCUGUCUCUUAUACA